rnacentral:rRNA from 1 species
UACGGAGGGGGCUAGCGUUGUUCGGAAUUACUGGGCGUAAAGCGCACGUAGGCGGUGAUCCAUGUCAGAGGUGAAAGCCCGGGGCUCAACUCCGGAAUUGCCUUUGAAACGGGAUCGCUAGAGUCCGAGAGAGGAUGGCGGAAUUCCUAGUGUAGAGGUGAAAUUCGUAGAUAUUAGGAAGAACACCGGUGGCGAAGGCGGCCAUCUGGCUCGGUACUGACGCUCAGGCGCGAAAGCGUGGGGAGCAAACAGGG